UACAGGGGGUGCAAACGUUGCUCGGAAUCAUUGGGCGUAAAGAGCGCGCAGGCGGUCGUUCAAGUCGCGUGUGAAAGCCCCCGGCUCAACUGGGGAGGGUCACGCGAUACUGAUCGACUCGAAGGCAGGAGAGGGAAGUGGAAUUCCCGGUGUAGUGGUGAAAUGCGUAGAUAUCGGGAGGAACACCAGUGGCGAAGGCGACUUCCUGGCCUGUUCUUGACGCUGAGGCGCGAAAGCUAGGGGAGCAAACGGG
rnacentral:rRNA from 1 species